rnacentral:rRNA from 1 species
GCAUGAAGUUGGAAUUGCUGUAAUCGCGGAUCAGCAUGCCGCGGUGAAUACGUUCCCGGGGAUUGUACACACCGCCCGUCACACCAUGAGAGUCGGGAACACCCAAAGUCCGUAGUCUAACCGCAAGGAGGACGCGGCCUAAGGUGGGUUCGAUAAUUGGGGUGAAGUCGUAACAAGGUAAC